GGGAGUUUGGUCUAGUGGUAUGAUUCUCGCUUUGGGUGCGAGAGGCCGCGGGUUCGAUUCCAGCAAUUCCCC
rnacentral:tRNA from 1 species